GAUGAACGCUGGCGGCUUGCCUAAUACAUGCAAGUCGAGCGAACGGACGAGAAGCUUUCUUCUCUGAUGUUAGCGGCGGACGGGUGAGUAACACGUGGAUAACCUACCUAUAAGACUGGGAUAACUUCGGGAAACCGGAGCUAAUACCGGAUAAUAUUUUGAACCGCAUGGUUCAAAAGUGAAAGACGGUCUUGCUGUCACUUAUAGAUGGAUCCGCGCUGCAUUAGCUAGUUGGUAAGGUAACGGCUUACCAAGGCAACGAUGCAUAGCCGACCUGAGAGGGUGAUCGGCCACACUGGAACUGAGACACGGUCCAGACUCCUACGGGAGGCAGCAGUAGGGAAUCUUCCGCAAUGGGCGAAAGCCUGACGGAGCAACGCCGCGUGAGUGAUGAAGGUCUUCGGAUCGUAAAACUCUGUUAUUAGGGAAGAACAUAUGUGUAAGUAACUGUGCACAUCUUGACGGUACCUAAUCAGAAAGCCACGGCUAACUACGUG
rnacentral:rRNA from 1 species